GUCUAUCACAGAAAUUGCUUCGUCUGUUUUGAAUGCGGUAUUCGACUCGAGUCAACGACUGUAAAUGAUCACGAACACGGCAUCUACUGCAGCGCCUGUUAUGCGAAAAGAUAUGGAGCAAAAGGCUACGGUUAUGGAGUUGGCGCUGGAGCACUAAAAUUUACCG